rnacentral:rRNA from 1 species
GAAAUUCCAAUCGAACCUGGAGAUAGCUGGUUCUCUCCGAAAUAGCUUUAGGGCUAGCCUCAAGUGAUGAUUAUUGGAGGUAGAGCACUGUUUGGACGAGGGGCCCCUCUCGGGUUACCGAAUUCAGACAAACUCCGAAUGCCAAUUAAUUUAACUUGGGAGUCAGAACAUGGGUGAUAAGGUCCGUGUUCGAAAGGGAAACAGCCCAGACCACCAGCUAAGGUCCCAAAAUAUAUGUUAAGUGGAAAAGGAUGUGGCGUUGCCCAGACAACUAGGAUGUUGGCUUAGAAGCAGCCAUCAUUUAAAGAGUGCGUAAUAGCUCACUAGUCGAGUGACACUGCGCCGAAAAUGUACCGGGGCUAAACAUAUUACCGAAGCUGUGGAUUGUCCUUUGGACAAUGGUAGGAGAGCGUUCUAAGGGCGUUGAAGCAUGAUCGUAAGGACAUGUGGAGCGCUUAGAAGUGAGAAUGCCGGUGUGAGUAGCGAAAGACGGGUGAGAAUCCCGUCCACCGAUUGACUAAGGUUUCCAGAGGAAGGCUCGUCCGCUCUGGGUUAGUCGGGUCCUAAGCUGAGGCCGACAGGCGUAGGCGAUGGAUAACAGGUUGAUAUUCCUGUACCACCUAUAAUCGUUUUAAUCGAUGGGGGGACGCAGUAGGAUAGGCGAAGCGUGCGAUUGGAUUGCACGUCUAAGCAGUAAGGCUGAGUAUUAGGCAAAUCCGGUACUCAUUAAGGCUGAGCUGUGAUGGGGAGAAGACAUUGUGUCUUCGAGUCGUUGAUUUCACACUGCCGAGAAAAGCCUCUAGAUAGAAAAUAGGUGCCCGUACCGCAAACCGACACAGGUAGUCAAGAUGAGAAUUCUAAGGUGAGCGAGCGAACUCUCGUUAAGGAACUCGGCAAAAUGACCCCGUAACUUCGGGAGAAGGGGUGCUCUUUAGGGUUAACGCCCAGAAGAGCCGCAGUGAAUAGGCCCAAGCGACUGUUUAUCAAAAACACAGGUCUCUGCUAAACCGUAAGGUGAUGUAUAGGGGCUGACGCCUGCCCGGUGCUGGAAGGUUAAGAGGAGUGGUUAGCUUCUGCGAAGCUACGAAUCGAAGCCCCAGUAAACGGCGGCCGUAACUAUAACGGUCCUAAGGUAGCGAAAUUCCUUGUCGGGUAAGUUCCGACCCGCACGAAAGGCGUAACGAUUUGGGCACUGUCUCAACGAGAGACUCGGUGAAAUCAUAGUACCUGUGAAGAUGCAGGUUACCCGCGACAGGACGGAAAGACCCCGUGGAGCUUUACUGUAGCCUGAUAUUGAAAUUCGGCACAGCUUGUACAGGAUAGGUAGGAGCCUUUGAAACGUGAGCGCUAGCUUACGUGGAGGCGCUGGUGGGAUACUACCCUAGCUGUGUUGGCUUUCUAACCCGCACCACUUAUCGUGGUGGGAGACAGUGUCAGGCGGGCAGUUUGACUGGGGCGGUCGCCUCCUAAAAGGUAACGGAGGCGCUCAAAGGUUCCCUCAGAAUGGUUGGAAAUCAUUCAUAGAGUGUAAAGGCAUAAGGGAGCUUGACUGCGAGACCUACAAGUCGAGCAGGGUCGAAAGACGGACUUAGUGAUCCGGUGGUUCCGCAUGGAAGGGCCAUCGCUCAACGGAUAAAAGCUACCCCGGGGAUAACAGGCUUAUCUCCCCCAAGAGUUCACAUCGACGGGGAGGUUUGGCACCUCGAUGUCGGCUCAUCGCAUCCUGGGGCUGUAGUCGGUCCCAAGGGUUGGGCUGUUCGCCCAUUAAAGCGGUACGCGAGCUGGGUUCAGAACGUCGUGAGACAGUUCGGUCCCUAUCCGUCGUGGGCGUAGGAAAUUUGAGAGGAGCUGUCCUUAGUACGAGAGGACCGGGAUGGACAUACCUCUGGUGUACCAGUUGUCGUGCCAACGGCAUAGCUGGGUAGCUAUGUGUGGACGGGAUAAGUGCUGAAAGCAUCUAAGCAUGAAGCCCCCCUCAAGAUGAGAUUUCCCAACUUCGGUUAUAAGAUCCCUCAAAGAUGAUGAGGUUAAUAGGUUCGAGGUGGAAGCAUGGUGACAUGUGGAGCUGACGAAUACUAA